rnacentral:rRNA from 2 species
AAACGACUCUCGGCAACGGAUAUCUCGGCUCUCGCAUCGAUGAAGAACGUAGCGAAAUGCGAUACUUGGUGUGAAUUGCAGAAUCCCGUGAACCAUCGAGUCUUUGAACGCAAGUUGCGCCCGAAACCAUUAGGUCGAGGGCACGUCUGCCUGGGCGUCACG